rnacentral:rRNA from 1 species
UUGGAGGGCAAGUCUGGUGCCAGCAGCCGCGGUAAUUCCAGCUCCAAUAGCGUAUAUUAAAGUUGUUGCAGUUAAAAAGCUCGUAGUUGAAUUUCGGGACCAAUUUGUUGGUCGUGCCUCGGUACGUACUGGUAUUAUUGGUUUCUCCCUUCUGAAGAACCUCGAUGCCAUUAAUUUGGUGUCGUGGGGAAUCAGGACUGUUACUUUGAAAAAAUUAGAGUGUUUAAAGCAGGC